rnacentral:rRNA from 1 species
AUGGAGGAUUCCGCCAUGGAUAAUCCCUUAGAUCCCAGGAUCCCGCAGGCUGCCCUGUCGCUGCGGCCCGCAGCACUACCGCCUUUGAGUGAAACCCACAUGUGUUUUAGAGGGGAUCCAUUACUCUGGAAUCAAAGAUCGGUGGUGCCGAAGGACAUGCCAGGGCUGUGUUUCAGGUGGUGGGUAGCAAGGGCCAAUCGGAUAAUGGAAGCGUCGCAUCGAUUGGAGAGAAGUUUGAAGGAGCUACGCUUGGCGCAACACAAGGCAGAGGCGCAAGUUGAUCUUAGGGGAGAGAUGCUGGGGGAUGUCAGCAUCUGGCAGCGCCGCAUUGAUUUCGAGCUAGGUCUAAUGGCAGAGAUCAUAUUCACGGAGUCAACUGCGGAGGAAAGAACACGCAUGCCUGUGGAAUGGCAUGAGCUGCUGGUGCAACUAUUCAAAUGGGUGGUAGGAGAAGCCAAAUUGUGGGACCAGCUGCGGUGUCGCCGCUGGGAAUGCACCAUAGGCAAGGUGUCUGCCUGGAGCGAUUUCUGUGGGAUGAGUCGGGCUGGGGAGGUGGAUGGAUGCUAUGGUGCUGCUAAUCUAGGUUCUGGUAGCUGCGAGUGGUUGGUUGCUGGCACCUGUGUUUGUCGGUUCCAUUCUAGUAGUUCUUCAUCAGGAGGAGCUCUUGUCUGGUGGACCAAGCCUUCUUGUUGUGAAACAUUUUAUUUAAGGACAUUCUGUGGAAUGAAGGAAGUGAAAGAAGUCGUAGUGGUGCGCGAUCCAUCCUACGAAAAUGUAUUUGAAGUUGACAUUUUGAUCAUUCUCCCCGGGCACGUCACAGACCCCGACGACUGCAACAGAUUUGUUCAGGCCACAGUCGACCACUACGGCCAAUUGGACCAUCUUGUGUGCAACGCUUGUCUUGCAAGCGUUGGCGCCUUUCAGGAGAUUCCUAACCAUGUGUAUAACAAUCUUCUUCUCCUAUUUGUGCACAUCAGGGACGGCUCGGAUCUGACGUUUUUGGUGUCUUACUGGUUUUCGGGGCGGGGGUGGUGCAGUGGCCGCAUGAACACGCUCAGGGGCAUCAUCGGCCGGGCGCUCAGGAGACAGGCGAGGUGGUUGCUGCCCACCCAGAAAGUCUGCAACAUGGCGGAGUCCAUCUUUGGCCGUCCCAAGCACGACCAUGAUAGACCCACAACGGCAGGUAUCAUCUCCAUCUCCAUCUCCCUCCCCCUCUUCCUCGAAGUAGCAGCACAACAUCAGAUUGUUCAAAUGAUGAGAGAGGUUCCCAUUGUGGUUACAACUGACAAUGUAGUAUCAGUCAACUGGCUAGCCUGGAGUAGCUUGGUGUUGUACAUGAUGGUGUUAACUAUGAAAAUGCCAAGUGAACCUCUUCUUGCCGCGGCCGUCCUCCUCCCCCUGCUCUGCUCUGCUCAACAGCUAGCAUCCAUGGCUAAAACAAAGGUAAGACUUUGGCCGGUCGGUGUAUUGAGCCAUGGUGGUCUAUUUGUGGGGGUCAUCAGCAUUGGUAUAGGGCGACUAGUGAUGCAACACAUCAAGCAGCAGCAGCAGGGGGGAGGGGGUCUCUCGAACAUCGAUGUUGCCACUCAUUGCUACUGUCGUUGA